rnacentral:pre_miRNA from 1 species
GCAUCAUGAUGAUGAUGAUGAUGAUGAUGAUGAUGAUGGCGAUGAUGUUCAAUAUCGUCGUCGUCAUCGUCGUCGACAUCGUCAUCGUCAUCGUCG